rnacentral:ncRNA from 1 species
GGGGCGCAUUUAUUAGAUAAAAGGCUGACGUGGGCUCUGCUCGCUGAUCCGAUGAUUCAUGAUAACUCGACGGAUCGCAUGGCCUUUGUGCCGGCGACGCAUCAUUCAAAUUUUUGCCCUAUCAACUUUCGAUGGUAGGAUAGGGGCCUACCAUGGUGGUGACGGGUGACGGAGAAUUAGGGUUCGAUUCCGGAGAGGGAGCCUGAGAAACGGCUACCACAUCCAAGGAAGGCAGCAGG